UCUUGCAUCCCAGCAAGAUAAUAAUACACGAUUUUCAAAGACGCUUUUGUUUUAGAUGAGGUUCUUUCACAUUCUUCUUUGGGGAUUUGUGCUCUUGUGGCCUCCUGUGAUAAGGCCUGUCCUUCUUUUCCAGGCUCCAAGGUGAAAAGGCCAGGCUGGAAACCACAGUCCAGCAACAAGCAAAGACCAUCGAAGCCCUUUGGAAAAAACUGCAAGCCUGUGCCUUAUCUCAUAAUGGCCUGGAGGACUCGGUAACCGGCUUUCGGACAACACGGACUGCAAAGGAACACCGACGUCGGCAGCGUGGCAGUGAAAGCAAGGAAGUAAAGAAGCUGGGCAAGACGCAAUGCCGAUCGGAAGCGCUUCCGGAUGAAGCGUGGAAAAGAAACGCCGCGCUGGAGGAAGAACA